UACGUAGGGGGCAAGCGUUGUCCGGAUUUAUUGGGCGUAAAGAGCGUGUAGGCGGCCAGACAGGUCCGUUGUGAAAACUCGAGGCUCAACCUCGAGACGUCGAUGGAAACCGUCUGGCUAGAGUCCGGAAGAGGAGAGUGGAAUUCCUGGUGUAGCGGUGAAAUGCGCAGAUAUCAGGAGAACACCGGUGGCGAAGGCGGGUCCGCUGGGCAAUGACUGACGCUGAGAGCGAAGCGUGGGGAGCGAACAGG
rnacentral:rRNA from 1 species